rnacentral:rRNA from 1 species
UACGUAGGGUGCAAGCGUUAAUCGGAAUUACUGGGCGUAAAGCGUGCGCAGGCGGCUUUGCAAGACAGAUGUGAAAUCCCCGGGCUUAACCUGGGAACUGCAUUUGUGACUGCAUGGCUGGAGUGCGGGAGAGGGGGAUGGAAUUCCGCGUGUAGCAGUGAAAUGCGUAGAUAUGCGGAGGAACACCGAUGGCGAAGGCAAUCCCCUGGGCCUGCACUGACGCUCGUGCACGAAAGCGUGGGGAGCAAACAGG